rnacentral:rRNA from 1 species
GACGAACGCUGGCGGCGUGCUUAACACAUGCAAGUCGAACGCUGAAGCUCAGCUUGCUGGGUGGAUGAGUGGCGAACGGGUGAGUAACACGUGAGUAACCUGCCCUCUUCUUUGGGAUAACGCCCGGAAACGGGUGCUAAUACUGGAUAUUCACUGAUUCUCGCAUGGGGGUUGGUGGAAAGGUUUUUUCUGGUGGGGGAUGGGCUCGCGGCCUAUCAGCUUGUUGGUGGGGUGAUGGCCUACCAAGGCUUUGACGGGUAGCCGGCCUGAGAGGGUGACCGGGCACAUUGGGACUGAGAUACGGCCCAGACUCCUACGGGAGGCAGCAGUGGGGAAUAUUGCACAAUGGGCGAAAGCCUGAUGCAGCGACGCCGCGUGAGGGAUGGAGGCCUUCGGGUUGUAAACCUCUUUCGCUCAUGGGCAAGCCGCAGCUUUGGGUUGUGGUGAGGGUAGUGGGUAAAGAAGCGCCGGCUAACUACGUG